AGUCCAUGGUGUGGGUAAGCGAGGAGUAAGUUUUUGAACCAUUCCCAACACUGGAAAAAAGUUUCAUCUCCUUUUUGGGAGAAGUUCAUAAUCUCAUGCCUGAGAGU